UGCUAGCAGAAAGGCGUCGGUUUCCUUCGGGAUGAAAAGGGAAUCCGUACCGGCCCCGGCCGGGAAACGGAACUGCCCCCGCAACUGUAGGCGGCGAGCGCCUCUCAACAGCCACUGGGCCACGCCCGGGAAGGCGAGAGGUGCCGCGACCCGCCAGUCAGGAGACCUGCCGACACGAGAGAAAUCAC
rnacentral:ncRNA from 2 species